rnacentral:tRNA from 1 species
GAAAAAGUAGCUUAGUUUGGUUAAAGUAUCGACCUGUCACGUCGAAGAUCGCGGGUUCAAUUCCCGUCUUUUUCG